CCUACGGGAGGCUGCAGUGGGGAAUAUUGGACAAUGGGGGCAACCCUGAUCCAGCCAUGCCGCGUGUGUGAAGAAGGCCCUCGGGUUGUAAAGCACUUUCAGUGAGGAAGAACGCCUGGUGGUUAAUACCCAUCAGGAAAGACAUCACUCACAGAAGAAGCACCGGCUAACUCCGUGCCAGCAGCCGCGGUAAUACGGAGGGUGCGAGCGUUAAUCGGAAUUACUGGGCGUAAAGCGCGCGUAGGUGGCUUGAUAAGCCGGUUGUGAAAGCCCCGGGCUCAACCUGGGAACGGCAUCCGGAACUGUGCAGCUAGAGUGCAGGAGAGGAAGGUAGAAUUCCCGGUGUAGCGGUGAAUUGCGUAGAGAUCGGGAGGAAUACCAGUGGCGAAGGCGGCCUUCUGGACUGACACUGACACUGAGGUGCCAAAGCGUGGGUAGCAAACAGGAUUAGAUACCCUGGUAGUC
rnacentral:rRNA from 1 species